rnacentral:lncRNA from 1 species
AAAAUGGUUUCAUUCCUAGCAUUUUCCUUAAAAGUUGUCUAUUACGGAAGAUCUUUUACUCCUAAGAAUUUAUCUCCACAGUGUUUCACUAUGGCUUUUCAAGCAUUCUCUAGUACUCCUACGAUGUUUAGGUCCUGCCCCUCUGGCAUGUGUAAUUCCUUGAUAUCCAUGAGAUUUCUAUGAACUCUGGCAUGUCAGAGCUGGCCUUUCCACACAACAGUCGAAUCAGUUCUUGUUUGAGAAAAGUCUCGGUGUGAGCACUGUCCAAGAUCCUUAGGGAACAUUGACACACCUGGACAUGAUACUGUCUAUGGAACUUUGGAAUUUGAGCCUAUUGGAGGCUUGGGAAGUCAUUUGGGUCUGCUUCAGGCUACCAAUAGUUAAUUUUUCUUUUUCUUUAUCUAUGUGAUUC